rnacentral:tRNA from 1 species
GCGCCUGUAGCUCAGCUGGAUAGAGUACCUGGCUACGAACCAGGCGGUCACACGUUCGAAUCGUGUCAGGCGCGCCA